rnacentral:lncRNA from 1 species
ACGGGGCUGUGUAGCAGAGCGCCCAGCUGGACGAAUCUCCCAGCCAGUUGGGGAGCCCCUCUGAGGGUCAUUCCUGCGGAUGUGGCCGUCGGGAGGACCAGCCCGUUUGCAGACCAAGCUUUUGCUUCCUCUCAUCCCUCCUGAGGAAGACCCUGGGAAAGGAAUGCUCUUCCUGCGGGCCCUUCCUCAGACACCAGGCAAACGGGUGAAGGUGCAGAGGAUUUCAGUGGGAUUUCCUGCCUCGAUUUCUCCAGUACUAUGAUAUGGAAAGACUAGAACAUUCAACCAUACACUUUCUGAUUCUCACCUCCACCAUCAUUAGUUCCAUUCCAAACUCUGGCUCCUACCCAUUGAGUUCAAGCUACAGCCUGAUUCAACUGAUCAACCUGGGGAUGGUGGUGUCAGGACUAGCACCUGGACCAUUCUGCCUCCUCUGCCUGCAACAUCCUCUCUAUCUGCUUGUGAACUCUUCUCCUUCAAAACCCAGCGGUUACGUCACCACUUCUAAAACCUUGAACUGAUUCCCCACGUAGUCGGCCAGCUACUUUUUAAAUUUAAAAAAGCCCAACCAGAAUAAACAGGAUAGCUAAAAUGCUGAA